rnacentral:rRNA from 1 species
CAGGACGAACGCUGGCGGCGUGCCUAACACAUGCAAGUCGAACGGGGAUUUGUUUCGGCAGAAUCCUAGUGGCGAACGGGUGAGUAACGCGUAGGCAACCUGCCCUCCGCCGGGGGACAACACUCCGAAAGGGGUGCUAAUACCGGAUACGAAGUCUGUGCCGCAUGGUACGGAUUUGAAAGAUGGCCUCUAUUUAUAAGCUAUCGCCGGGGGAUGGGCCUGCGUCCGAUUAGGCUGGUUGGUGGGGUAACGGCCUACCAAGGCGACGAUCGGUAGCCGGUCUGAGAGGAUGAACGGCCACAUUGGGACUGAGACACGGCCCAGACUCCUACGGGAGGCAGCAGUGGGGAAUCUUCCGCAAUGGGCGCAAGCCUGACGGAGCAACGCCGCCGUGAGUGAGGAAGUUCUUCGGAACGUAAAGCUCUGUUGUUCCUGACGAACCUCCCCUUUAUCAACAACGGAGGGGACUGACGGUAGGGAACGAGGAAGCCACGGCUAACUACGUGCCAGCCGCUGC